rnacentral:rRNA from 1 species
GACGAACGCUGGCGGCGUGCUUAACACAUGCAAGUCGAACGGAAAGGCCCUGCUUGCAGGGUACUCGAGUGGCGAACGGGUGAGUAACACGUGGGUGAUCUGCCCUGCACUUCGGGAUAAGCCUGGGAAACUGGGUCUAAUACCGGAUAGGAGCCAUUUUUAGUGUGAUGGUUGGAAAGUUUUUUCGGUGUAGGAUGAGCUCGCGGCCUAUCAGCUUGUUGGUGGGGUAAUGGCCUACCAAGGCGGCGGCGGGUAGCCGGCGUGAGAGGGUGGACGGCCACAGUGGGACUGAGACUCGGCCCAGACUCCGACGGGAGGGAGCAGUGGGGAAUAUUGCUAAAUGGGCGCAAGCCUGAUGCAGCGACGCCGCGUGGGGGAUGACGGUCUUCGGGUUGGAAACUCCUUGCGCUAGGGACGAAGCUUUUUGUGACGGUACCUAGAUAAGAAGCACCGGCUAACUACGUG